GGAUUUUUUGAUAUUUUCACUCGUGCUUCGCACUCGUGAAAAUAUCAAAAAAUCCUGUCCCACUCGUGAAAUAAAUUCCAUAUUCAUCUACAAAACAUUGAAUAUCCUCUAUGUAUUCAAUCUCGAAAUCCAUUAAACAUUACAAAAUAGGUGCAGAGCAAACAUGGACCUCCAAAACAUCAGAGGUGGAAUCAGGUGCCACGGAGUAGUGAGCAUCCCCUGCCGACCGGUCACACCCACCGUGUGCUCCUUGUCAUGAU